UACAGAGGUCUCAAGCGUUGUUCGGAUUCAUUGGGCGUAAAGGGCGCGUAGGCUGCGGGGUAAGUCGGGUGUGAAAUCUCAGGGCUCAACCCUGAAACUGCACUCGAUACUGCUCUGCUUGAGGACUGGAGAGGAGACUGGAAUUCACGGUGUAGCAGUGAAAUGCGUAGAUAUCGUGAGGAAGACCAGUGGCGAAGGCGGGUCUCUGGACAGUUCCUGACGCUGAGGCGCGAAGGCCAGGGGAGCAAACGGG
rnacentral:rRNA from 1 species